AGCGAACAUUGGCGGUAGGCUUAACACAUGCAAGUCGAGCGAGGCGUAAUAGUCGAGCGGCGAACGGGUGAGUAAUACAUGGAAAUCUACCCUGAAGUGGGGGAUAACGUCCAGAAAUGGACGCUAAUACCGCAUAAUCCAUAUUGGGAAAGCGUUGCAGCGCUUUAGGAUGAGUCCAUGGCUGAUUAGCUUGUUGGUGAGGUAACGGCUCACCAAGGCGACGAUCAGUAGCUGGUCUGAGAGGAUGACCAGCCACACUGGAACUGAGACACGGUCCAGACUCCUACGGGAGGCAGCAGUGGGGAAUCUUGCGCAAUGGGGGCAACCCUGACGCAGCCAUACCGCGUGAGUGAUGAAGGUCUUCGGAUUGUAAAGCUCUUUCGGCGGGGACGACGAUGACGGUACCCGCAAAAGAAGUCACGGCUAACUUCGUGCCAGCAGCCGCCGCGG
rnacentral:rRNA from 1 species